CCUACGGGAGGCAGCAGUGAGGAAUAUUGGUCAAUGGACGAGAGUCUGAACCAGCCAAGUAGUGUGAAGGAUGACUGCCCUAUGGGUUGUAAACUUCUUUUAUAUGGGAAUAAAAUGUUCCACGUGUGGGAUUUUGUAUGUACCAUAUGAAUAAGGAUCGGCUAACUCCGUGCCAGCAGCCGCGGUAAUACGGAGGAUCCGAGCGUUAUCCGGAUUUAUUGGGUUUAAAGGGAGCGUAGGUGGAUUGUUAAGUCAGUUGUGAAAGUUUGCGGCUCAACCGUAAAAUUGCAGUUGAGACUGGCAGUCUUGAGUACAGUAGAGGUGGGCGGAAUUCGUGGUGUAGCGGUGAAAUGCUUAGAUAUCACGAAGAACUCCGAUUGCGAAGGCAGUUCACUGGACUGCAACUGACACUGAGGCUCGAAAGUGUGGGUAUCAAACAGGAUUAGAUACCCCUGUAGUC
rnacentral:rRNA from 1 species